AUGGCAGAGGCAGGGCAGUGCAGGACGUCGGCAGGACCUGUCAGGGUGUCACUUCAUCUCUUGCACACUUUGUUAGAGGCUGACAGCCAGCUUGCCAUUACCAUUGCAGGGCCAAUUAUCUCUGCAUUGCAGGAACAUGCCCCACUUGUCACCCACCCUUCCUCUCCCACCUGCCCUUCCGCUAGGGAUCAUUAUAAUGAUUUUGCACACACGUGCAGCUGCUCAGCUCAGUGGAUUAAACCUCAGCUAUGGGUUCCUCAAACCUGUCACCAUGGGCAGGACUACUGCAGAGCAGAGGAGAAAAAGAAGCAGAGUCUGGAAGGAGCCAACCUGAUGUGAAACGGGCAUGAAGGUGCAGAAAAAGCAUAAGCAAGGAAGUGGUUUUUUUGCAAGAGCAGCAGCAAAACUGAGGGAAAGUGGCACAAAUAAAUGGAUUCCAGUGCAAAACUGGAUACA
rnacentral:lncRNA from 1 species